AUUUUUAAAAUUGAAUAAUUGUACCCUAUAAUAUAGCAAACAAAGUAGGCUGAUGGGCAAGCCUCCUCCUGCCGCAAUGGUGUGGGGCGUCAGAGGCUGUUGCCCCGUCGCCAACUUGAAGGGGCUGAAGUUCAACGCAGAGCUUUUGAACAACACUGAGUAACAUCCAACAGCUCUGGUCUUUCUGGUUGGUGUGCUUGCACUAAAGUGCCUUAAUUAAGUAGCCCGCCCUUGAGGAGUCCAUUUAUAUCCGUCUGAGCUUUCAAAGAUAUACCGACCAUAGGUAUCUUAGUUGCCAUCAGAUACAGAUAGACCAAAUAUAUUAAUUAUUCAGUAAAUUUAAAAAGUAAUUUUAUUUUAUUUUUUGUUUAUAAUUGAGACAGGAGUAAUUUGGGCUACUUGUGCACAUUAGAAGCAGCCUUCUUUUUGUAGUUACUUCAAAUAUGAAAAGUGAUUUCUUUUGGCAGUCAAAAUUACUUUUACUAAAAACACAGAGAAUG
rnacentral:lncRNA from 1 species